rnacentral:tRNA from 1 species
GGGGAUUUGGCUCAGUGGUAGAGCGCUUGCCUAGCAAGCGCAAGGCCCUGGGUUCGAUCUCCAGCUCCG